UACGGAGGGUGCGAGCGUUGUCCGGAAUCAUUGGGCGUAAAGGGCGCGUAGGUGGCCCGGUCAGUUCGUGGUGAAAGCGCGGGGCUCAACCCUGCGUCGGCCAUGAAUACUGCCGCGGCUGGAGCACUGUAGAGGCAGGCGGAAUUCCGGGUGUAGCGGUGGAAUGUGUAGAGAUCCGGAAGAACACCGGUGGCGAAGGCGGCCUGCUGGGCAGUUGCUGACACUGAGGCGCGACAGCGUGGGGAGCAAACAGG
rnacentral:rRNA from 1 species